UGACCGCUGGCGGCAUGCCUUACACAUGCACGUCGAACGGCAGCAUGACCUAGCUUGCUAGGUUGAUGGCGAGUGGCGAACGAGUGAGUAAUGCAUCGGAACGUGCCUUUUAGUGGGGGAUAACGUAGCGAAAGUUACGCUAAUACCGCAUAUUCUCUGAGGAGGAAAGCAGGGGACCUUCGGGCCUUGCGCUAGAAGAGCGGCCGAUGUCGGAUUAGCUAGUUGGUGAGGUAAAGGCUCACCAAGGCAACGAUCCGUAGCGGGUCUGAGAGGAUGAUCCGCCACACUGGGACUGAGACACGGCCCAGACUCCUACGGGAGGCAGCAGUGGGGAAUUUUGGACAAUGGGCGCAAGCCUGAUCCAGCCAUGCCGCGUGAGUGAAGAAGGCCUUCGGGUUGUAAAGCUCUUUCGGCUGGGAAGAAAUCGCACCCUCUAAUACAGGGUGUGGAUGACGGUACCAGCAUAAGAAGCACCGGCUAACUACGUG
rnacentral:rRNA from 1 species